UAAUCUGCGUCAAAAUAUGUAUACAUCAUCAAUAACAAAUCAUACAAAAGUAGCUUCUCAAACUUUUGUUUGUAAUAUUUAAUCUUAAUAUCAUUCAUUCGGGCAUUUGCAGCUCUCAAACUAGAAUACCAUACUACGAAAGUAUAUAUCAUAUUAAACCAUUGAAAAUAAACACGGUACGCAGUACUAAACAGAACUAAACUGCUGAUAACAAAUGUAGAACGAGUUAUUGUUCAUCUAAACUAUGAUCAUCAUGCGAUAACUAGUUGGCUACCAAACCAGUUCUCCAUUUCUCUGUCCUUGAAGCGAUGUAAUCAUAAGCUUUCUGGUCAAUUCCAGGCUCAGCCACCCCCCACCGGCCUCUAUCUUCAUCACUAGGCCAUACUUUGUAAGCCUUUACAGAGUCAUUAUCCCUUGUACUUUCCGACCUCAAUGCCCUUGAAUUUUUGGCUUUGAAGAUGCUGAAGAGGGAAAUAGAACCAGAUGAAGAUUUCUUGAUUUGCCUGUUGUUGCCUGCCAUGUUUUCUAGCUUUUGCUGCUUUUCUGUGUGUUUUUUCAAGGGGGGGAAAUGCACUAUUGAGGUAUUUUUACAAGGAGAUGAGGUGUUUUAAGUUUUUGUUCC
rnacentral:lncRNA from 1 species